CCCAAGACUGAUUGCCCACUGAAACUAAGCAGGGUUGAGCCUGGUCAGUACCUGGAUGGGAGACCUCCUGGGAAAACUAGGUUGCUGUUGGAA
rnacentral:rRNA from 1 species